rnacentral:rRNA from 1 species
AUGGGUCUCUCAGACGCAAUGCAAUGGUGGGAUGAGUGGAAGCUGCGAGUCCUUGUCUUGUGCAGCCUCGUUAUCCAGUUCUUCCUCUUCUUCUCUGGUUGGGUGCGCAUAUACCAUAAGCUACGCCGGUUGAGGCCGCUGGUGUGGAUGGCGCACAUUGGUGGGGAUGCACUGGCGAUCUACGCUCUCGCCACCCUCUUCAACCGCCAAAAGCAGCGAACUGCGGUUGAUGGGAGUGACGCCCUCGAGCUCAUAUGGGUGCCUAUCCUCCUCAUUCACCUUGGUGGCCAGGACACAAUUGCCUACAGCCUCGAAAACAAUGAGCAAUGGAUGCGGUAUGCCAUAACCCUGGUGUCCCAACUCGCGGUUGCCUUGUACAUCUUCUACAAUUGGUGGUCUGGGCAGAAGAAGCUCCUGCAGGCGGCAGUCUUGCUCUUUAUCAUCGGUAUCAUCAAGUUCAGUGAGAAGUCAUGGGCGCUCAAGAGGGCCAGCUUUAAUAGCAUGGCCACCAGAAGUCUGUCCGUACGGAGUGAAAAUAGAUCCAUUCCUCCAUAUUGGACAUUGUGCACUUCGGAUUGCAUGGGCUUUUUUUCAGCAAAGCAUAAAGGAGAGGAAAAACACCACUGCAACCUUUCACUUGAAGACUAUGUACAAGAGGCACACAAGAUUGUACAAGAGACGGGGAGAACAAGUGACCAAAAAGCAGCUAUUAUCAAGUUUACUGCCGCUACAAUGGACUACAUCUCUAUGAUGCUUGUGGACCGAUCUACUCCGUACUAUGUUCGUCUCAACUAUCUACAAUGUUUCCACCAGUCGGAUGACGAGUAUGGACACAAAAACUUACAAGUGUGGAUUAGGAAUACAUAUGGUGCCCUGUACACCAAACAGAGGUCAAACAAAACUUGUUUGGGCUGCUGCUCAUGGUUAUUGCUUCCUUUUCUGGCCUUAGCUUCCCUGGUGCUCUUCGCCAAGAGUGACAAGGAUGAUUACAAUGAGAAGGACAUUAUAGUAUCAUACAUCAUGUUCUGUUGCACAGUCGUGAAUCAAUUAUCACCCUGGUUGCUCGGGCGUUGCGAGAUGUGGUGCGCAAACAACCUUGCUUUUUCGCAAGACAUGGUUUCACAGCACAACCUCAUGUCCUUUUGUGCUCGCGAGAAGCAGCUCACCACUUUCAAGAAAAUUGUUGCUUUCAUGUGUCCCAUGGAGUACAUUAACAAGCAUUGCUACAAUUGGCAAGAGACUGCGGCUCUCCAGAUUGAAGUGCUGAUUCGCGAGUACAUAAAAGAUGGGUGGAAGGAGUAUAUAGGUGAUCCUACCGCAUACAGAAGAUUCAAUAAUUUCAGGGGGCAACACACUCUGUCGAGGCACCCUCAACAUCUUUGGAGCCUCAAACUAGGAUUCGAUGAGAGUGUUCUUGUGUGGCACAUAGCCACAGAUCUCUGCUUCUACCACCCUGACACUUUCUCCCAAGGUCCAAGUGGAGACACCAUCCUACGCAGCACGCAGAUAUCCAACUACAUGAUCUACCUGCUUUACGUGUGCCCUGAGAUGCUAAUGGCAGGGACGAGGCAAGAUUUUUUCACAUAUGCUUGCGAUGAAAUCAAGGACAUUCUCACGGACCAGAAUGAUCCACCAAGCAUUGCACGGAGGAUUCGUCAUAUGAAACAUGAUCAACUUAAAGGAGUUGUGCUUCAGAAUGCGCACAAACUCGCUGAGGAGCUCAUGGAACACCCCGACGAGGAAGAGAGGUGGAAGGUGAUCCAAGGUGUUUGGGUGGAGAUGCUCUGCUAUUCUGCCAGUAGAUGCAGGGGCUACCUGCAUGCCAAGAGCCUGGGUGAAGGUGGGGAGUUCCUUACAAACGUCUGGUUCUUAUGGUCGUUCAUGGGAAUGGAAAUCCUAGGUGACAAGAUCCACCAGCCUCUUGAAAAAGAAGGAAUCACGGAUGCUCUCGUGUGA